UACAGAGGUCUCAAGCGUUGUUCGGAUUCAUUGGGCGUAAAGGGUGCGUAGGUGGCGCGGUAAGUCGGGUGUGAAAUUUCGGAGCUUAACUCCGAAACUGCAUUCGAUACUGCCGUGCUUGAGGACUGGAGAGGAGACUGGAAUUUACGGUGUAGCAGUGAAAAUGCGUAGAGAUCGUAAGGAAGACCAGUGGCGAAGGCGGGUCUCUGGACAGUUCCUGACACUGAGGCACGAAGGCCAGGGGGAGCAAAACGGG
rnacentral:rRNA from 1 species